AUUGAACGCUGGCGGCAGGCCUAACACAUGCAAGUCGAACGAGUGGCCGACGGGUGAGUAAUGUCUGGGAAACUGACUGAUGGAGGGGGAUAACUACUGGAAACGGUAGCUAAUAACGCAUAACAUCAGAUGUGCCCAGAUGGGAUUGGCUUGUUGGUGGGGUAAAGGCUCACCAGGGCCACGAUCCCUAGCUGGUCUGAGAGGAUGACCGACCACACUGGAACUGAGACGCGGUCCAGACUCCUACGGACGGCAGCAGUGGCGAAUGUUGGACAAUGGGCGCAAGCCUGAUGCAGACAGGCGGGUUGUAUGAAGAGGGCCUGCGGGUUGUAAGGUACUUUCAGCGGGGAGGCGGUACACGCAGAAGAAGCGCCGGCUAACUCCGUGCCAGCAGCCGCGGUAAUAC
rnacentral:rRNA from 1 species